UUACAUUUUUAGAUUGGUGAGCAUGUCCGCUUGCGGAAAGCCUAAAGAUCUGACGUAAUCUCCACCUUGAACUUUCGGGUUCAAGGGCUAUGUCGACAGCGACACAUCCGGGGAGUCU
rnacentral:sRNA from 1 species